rnacentral:lncRNA from 1 species
ACAGUGAGAUAGCUGCCUAGUGGAAAUGAAUAAUAUCCCAGCCACUAGUGUACAGGGUGUUUUGUGGCACAGGAUUAUGUAAUAUGGAACUGCUCAAGCAAAUAACUAGUCAUCACAACAGCAGUUCUUUGUAAUAACUGAAAAAGAAUAUUGUUUCUCGGAGAAGGAUGUCAAAAGAUCGGCCCAGCUCAGGGAGCAGUUUGCCCUACUAGCUCCUCGGACAGCUGUAAAGAAGAGUCUCUGGCUCUUUAGAAUACUGUAAGUACUACUUCGUAGCUAUUAAGUAAUCUUUUUCCUAUUCUAUUUUCUUUCUCUUAGAUGCCACCUAUAGAAAAGUCAGAGGGUCCAGAUCCCAUUGAAGAUACCACGCUGCAUGUGUCCUUAGUAGUCAUGUCUCCUUAGGCUCCUCUUGGACAUUCUGAGCAUGUGAGACCUGAGGACUGCAAACAGCUAUAAGAGGCUCCAAAUUAAUCAUAUCUUUCCCUUUGAGAAUCUGGCCAAGCUCCAGCUAAUCUACUUGGAUGGGUUGCCAGCUAUCUGGAGAAAAAGAUCUUCCUCAGAAGAAUAGGCUUGUUGUUUUACAGUGUUAGUGAUCCAUUCCCUUUGACGAUCCCUAGGUGGAGAUGGGGCAUGAGGAUCCUCCAGGGGAAAAGCUCACUACCACUGGGCAACAACCCUAGGUCAGGAGGUUCUGUCAAGAUACUUU